rnacentral:rRNA from 1 species
GACGAACGCUGGCGGCGUGCCUAAUACAUGCAAGUAGAACGCUGAAGGAGGAGCUUGCUUCUCUGGAUGAGUUGCGAACGGGUGAGUAACGCGUAGGUAACCUGCCUGGUAGCGGGGGAUAACUAUUGGAAACGAUAGCUAAUACCGCAUAAUAGUAGAUGUUGCAUGACAUUUGCUUAAAAGGUGCAAUUGCAUCACUACCAGAUGGACCUGCGUUGUAUUAGCUAGUUGGUGGGGUGACGGCUCACCAAGGCGACGAUACAUAGCCGACCUGAGAGGGUGAUCGGCCACACUGGGACUUAGACACGGCCCAGACGUCUACGGGAGGCAGCAGUAGGGAAUCUUCGGCAAUGGACGGAAGUCUGACCGAGCAACGCCGCGUGAGUGAAGAAGGUUUUCGGAUCGUAAAGCUCUGUUGUAAGAGAAGAACGAGUGUGAGAGUGGAAAGUUCACACUGUGACGGUAUCUUACCAGAAAGGGACGGCUAACUACGUG